rnacentral:lncRNA from 1 species
AACAAACGAUUACAUAGAUUUCUCUCGAAGGAAAGUUUACAUGACGACCAAAUAGAAUCUACAACUAAUACAAUACUACAACUACUUUGUGUUCGGGGACCUAAUACGAUCCUUAUUACAACAAAAAAUAGUCAAUGACACUACUACUUCGCGUCACCCCCUACGCCGACACCUCGACAAGUCCUUUGUCUCCUACCCCUCCAGUUAGGCAAGGUUGCCUCCAUUCCCUGCACAAGUCAUGUAUCCGUAUGUGACUACAUCACUCAGCAUGUAAGUAUAGGUUCCAACAAGUAAUAACAAUAGCAAUUAACAUAAUACAUGUGUAUAUAAUAUUCAAUCUGAUGAUACCAAUCAAUCAUCAUUCAUGCGCCUAAUGGGUCAUCACUCGUCAUUCGUCAUUCGUUAGGCGUCACAACACCCCUGUCAUAACUCAUUCAUGCUUUGAUUCAUUGAUGAAUCUCAUUCAUACAUACAAUGCUAUUCUUAUUCUCUUGUCCAUUCAUGUAUAUUUCCCCUCUAAUCCUAUUAUCAUUUUAAAACAACAAGUAUUCGAAAACAACCCACAAGAUAAUUAUCUUAUUUGCUAACACAUGGCACCCCGAUAAUAUGUUCAUUAUUUAAAACAGAAAUAAUUAAUCGAACCAACCCACGUGAUAAUUAACUUAUAUGCAAUUCAAACAUGCACCCGAUAGCAUUUUAGUCAUUAAAACAGCAACAUAAAUACUACAACCCACUCACAUGGUAAAUACCCUAUAUGCUACCAAUAUGCAUCAUCUAAAAACAAAGAUAAAUAAACUGCAAUAGAAUCGAUAGCAGCAAACUAAAACAACAAUAUAAUAUUAAACAUGGAUAGUUGAUAUGCAAAUCACUCAUGCAUUCCGACACCUAAAGCCAACAGUAGAAUAAUAGACCCAACAUUUCAAAAAUAUGGACAGCAAUACAUAUAGACAGCAACAAAAUAAAGAUAGCAAUAUCACAUGAAACCCAACUAAACUCAAUCAUCAACAGAAAUCGACAGCAACAAAAUAGAGGAAAAUAUGGCACUGAACCCAACUAAACUCAAUCAUCAACAGAGAAUCAGAAGCAACAAUAUAAAGAAAAUAUAAUAUUAACAUCACUCAACCCAAUCCUCAACAGUAAACCAUCGAUAGUGAAAUCUAUGGAUCGGAUGACCCAAGGUGUUUGGGGACCUUACCAUUUCCCUACAUUAUCAUCUAGGAACGUAUUCAUCAAGAUCGGAUCUACUCCGAUACUUCUUUCAUUUAUCAUCUACCCUUCCUUCCUAUCAACCAUGUCCCUUAUCUUAGUCUCGAAUCUAACACUCUACAUACCUCUUCCGCGGCUUGUCGAGCUUCACACCUCCCACACCACGACACCGGUGCUCCCUUACAGAUCCCAACCACGAUGCUCCCCUCCUAG